rnacentral:rRNA from 1 species
UGAAACAUCUUCGGGUUGUGAGGUUAAGCGACUAAGCGUACACGGUGGAUGCCCUGGCAGUCAGAGGCGAUGAAGGACGUGCUAAUCUGCGAAAAGCGUCGGUAAGGUGAUAUGAACCGUUAUAACCGGCGAUGUCCGAAUGGGGAAACCCAGUGCAAUUCGUUGCACUAUCGUUAACUGAAUACAUAGGUUAACGAGGCGAACCGGGGGAACUGAAACAUCUAAGUACCCCGAGGAAAAGAAAUCAACCGAGAUUCCCCCAGUAGCGGCGAGCGAACGGGGAGCAGCCCAGAGUCUGAAUCAGCUUGUGUGUUAGUGGAACGGUCUGGAAAGUCCGACGGUACAGGGUGAUAGUCCCGUACACCAAAAUGCACAGGUUGUGAACUCGAAGAGUAGGGCGGGACACGUGGUAUCCUGUCUGAAUAUGGGGGGACCAUCCUCCAAGGCUAAAUACUCCUGACUGACCGAUAGUGAACCAGUACCGUGAGGGAAAGGCGAAAAGAACCCCGGCGAGGGGAGUGAAAAAGAACCUGAAACCGUGUACGUACAAGCAGUGGGAGCACCUUCGGGUGUGACUGCGUACCUUUUGUAUAAUGGGUCAGCGACUUAUAUUCUGUAGCAAGGUUAACCGUAUAGGGGAGCCGCAGGGAAACCGAGUCUUAACUGGGCGUUAAGUUGCAGGGUAUAGACCCGAAACCCGGUGAUCUAGCCAUGGGCAGGUUGAAGGUUGGGUAACACUAACUGGAGGACCGAACCGACUAAUGUUGAAAAAUUAGCGGAUGACUUGUGGCUGGGGGUGAAAGGCCAAUCAAACCGGGAGAUAGCUGGUUCUCCCCGAAAGCUAUUUAGGUAGCGCCUCGUGAACUCAUCUUCGGGGGUAGAGCACUGUUUCGGCUAGGGGGUCAUCCCGACUUACCAACCCGAUGCAAACUACGAAUACCGAAGAAUGUUAUCACGGGAGACACACGGCGGGUGCUAACGUCCGUCGUGAAGAGGGAAACAACCCAGACCGCCAGCUAAGGUCCCAAAGUCAUGGUUAAGUGGGAAACGAUGUGGGAAGGCACAGACAGCCAGGAUGUUGGCUUAGAAGCAGCCAUCAUUUAAAGAAAGCGUAAUAGCUCACUGGUCGAGUCGGCCUGCGCGGAAGAUGUAACGGGGCUAAACCAUGCACCGAAGCUGCGGCAGCGACACUAUGUGUUGUUGGGUAGGGGAGCGUUCUGUAAGCCUGCGAAGGUGUGCUGUGAGGCAUGCUGGAGGUAUCAGAAGUGCGAAUGCUGACAUAAGUAACGAUAAAGCGGGUGAAAAGCCCGCUCGCCGGAAGACCAAGGGUUCCUGUCCAACGUUAAUCGGGGCAGGGUGAGUCGACCCCUAAGGCGAGGCCGAAAGGCGUAGUCGAUGGGAAACAGGUUAAUAUUCCUGUACUUGGUGUUACUGCGAAGGGGGGACGGAGAAGGCUAUGUUAGCCGGGCGACGGUUGUCCCGGUUUAAGCAUGUAGGCUGAUUGUCCAGGCAAAUCCGGAUAAUCAAGGCUGAGGUGUGAUGACGAGGCACUACGGUGCUGAAGUAACAAAUGCCCUGCUUCCAGGAAAAGCCUCUAAGCAUCAGGUAACAUUAAAUCGUACCCCAAACCGACACAGGUGGUCAGGUAGAGAAUACCAAGGCGCUUGAGAGAACUCGGGUGAAGGAACUAGGCAAAAUGGUGCCGUAACUUCGGGAGAAGGCACGCUGGUGUGUAGGUGAAGUCCCUGCGGAUGGAGCUGAGACCAGUCGAAGAUACCAGCUGGCUGCAACUGUUUAUUAAAAACACAGCACUGUGCAAACACGAAAGUGGACGUAUACGGUGUGACGCCUGCCCGGUGCCGGAAGGUUAAUUGAUGGGGUUAUCCGUAAGGAGAAGCUCUUGAUCGAAGCCCCGGUAAACGGCGGCCGUAACUAUAACGGUCCUAAGGUAGCGAAAUUCCUUGUCGGGUAAGUUCCGACCUGCACGAAUGGCGUAAUGAUGGCCAGGCUGUCUCCACCCGAGACUCAGUGAAAUUGAACUCGCUGUGAAGAUGCAGUGUACCCGCGGCAAGACGGAAAGACCCCGUGAACCUUUACUAUAGCUUGACACUGAACAUUGAGCCUUGAUGUGUAGGAUAGGUGGGAGGCUUUGAAGCGUGGACGCCAGUCUGCGUGGAGCCAACCUUGAAAUACCACCCUUUAAUGUUUGAUGUUCUAACGUUGGCCCCUGACCGGGGUUGCGGACAGUGUCUGGUGGGUAGUUUGACUGGGGCGGUCUCCUCCCAAAGCGUAACGGAGGAGCACGAAGGUUAGCUAAUCCUGGUCGGACAUCAGGAGGUUAGUGCAAUGGCAUAAGCUAGCUUGACUGCGAGCGUGACGGCGCGAGCAGGUGCGAAAGCAGGUCAUAGUGAUCCGGUGGUUCUGAAUGGAAGGGCCAUCGCUCAACGGAUAAAAGGUACUCCGGGGAUAACAGGCUGAUACCGCCCAAGAGUUCAUAUCGACGGCGGUGUUUGGCACCUCGAUGUCGGCUCAUCACAUCCUGGGGCUGAAGUAGGUCCCAAGGGUAUGGCUGUUCGCCAUUUAAAGUGGUACGCGAGCUGGGUUUAGAACGUCGUGAGACAGUUCGGUCCCUAUCUGCCGUGGGCGCUGGAGAAUUGAGGGGGGCUGCUCCUAGUACGAGAGGACCGGAGUGGACGCAUCACUGGUGUUCGGGUUGUCAUGCCAAUGGCACUGCCCGGUAGCUAAAUGCGGAAGAGAUAAGUGCUGAAAGCAUCUAAGCACGAAACUUGCCCCGAGAUGAGUUCUCCCUGAGACUUUAAGUCUCCUGAAGGAACGUUGAAGACGACGACGUUGAUAGGCCGGGUGUGUAAGCGCAGCGAUGCGUUGAGCUAACCGGUACUAAUGAACCGUGAGGCUUAACCUU